UACGUAGGGCGCAAGCGUUGUCCGGAAUUACUGGGCUUAAAGCGCGUGUAGGCGGAAGGGCAAGUACCUUGUGAAAUCCCCGGGCUCAACCCGGGAAUGGCUGGGUAUACUGCCUUUCUUGAGGCAGGUAGGGGUCACUGGAACCUUAGGUGGAGCGGUGAAAUGCGUAGAUAUCUAAGGGAACGCCUGUGGCGAAAGCGGGUGACUGGGCCUGUCCUGACGCUGAGACGCGGAAGCGUAGGGAGCAAACGGG
rnacentral:rRNA from 1 species